rnacentral:rRNA from 1 species
ACUCAAAUGAAUUGACGGGGGCUCACACAAGCGGUGGAGGAUGUGGUUUAAUUCGAAGCAACGCGAAGAACCUUACCAGGUCUUGACAUACCGGGAUUAGUUCGGUGAAAGCCGGAUGAUUACCCUCAAGGUGUAACCGGAACAGGUGCUGCAUGGCUGUCGUCAGCUCGUGCCGUGAGGUGUUAGGUUAAGUCCUUUAACGAGCGAAACCCCUACGUUUAGUUACCAGCGCGUCAUGGCGGGGACUCUAGACGGACUGCCGCGAAAGUAGGAGGAAGGUGGGGACGACGUCAAGUCAUCAUGGCCUUUAUGACCUGGGCCACACACGUCCUACAAUGGAUGGUACAGAGGGUAGCGAAACCGUAAGGCGGAGCCAAUCCCAGAAAACCAUCCUCAGUUCAGAUUGUGGGCUGCAAUUCGCCCACAUGAAGCCGGAAUCGCUAGUAAUCGCGGAUCAGCUACGCCGCGGUGAAUAUGUUCCUGAGCCUUGUACACACCGCCCGU